rnacentral:rRNA from 1 species
UGGGGAAUUGUUCGCAAUGGGCGCAAGCCUGACGACGCAACGCCGCGUGGUGGACGAAGAUCUUCGGGUCGUAAACUCCUGUCGAGCGGGAAGAAACCCGCGGGGAUGAAUAAUCCCUGCGGCUGACGGUACCGCUAAAGGAAGCCCCGGCUAACUCCGUGCCAGCAGCCGCGGUAAUACGGGGGGGGCAAGCGUUGUUCGGAAUUACUGGGCGUAAAGGGCUCGUAGACGGCCAACUAAGUCGGAUGUGAAAUCCCUAGGCUCAACCUGGGAACUGCAUCCGAUACUGGAUGGCUUGAAUCCGGGAGAGGGAUGCAGAAUUCCAGGUGUAGCGGUGAAAUGCGUAGAUAUCUGGAGGAAUACCGGUGGCGAAGGCGGCAUCCUGGACCGGCAUUGACGCUGAUGAGCGAAAGCCAGGGGAGCAA